AGUGAACGCUGGCGGUAGGCCUAACACAUGCAAGUCGAACGGCAGCACAGUAAGAGCUUGCUCUUACGGGUGGCGAGUGGCGGACGGGUGAGGAAUACAUCGGAAUCUACUUUUUCGUGGGGGAUAACGUAGGGAAACUUACGCUAAUACCGCAUACGACCUACGGGUGAAAGCAGGGGAUCUUCGGACCUUGCGCGAUUGAAUGAGCCGAUGUCGGAUUAGCUAGUUGGCGGGGUAAAGGCCCACCAAGGCGGCGAUCCGUAGCUGGUCUGAGAGGAUGAUCAGCCACACUGGAACUGGGCCACGGUCCAGACUCCUACGGGAGGGAGCAGUGGGGAAUAUUAGGCAACGGGCGGAAGUCUUGUCCAGCCAGACCACGUGGGUUGAGGAGGCCUUCGGGUUGUAAAGCCCUUUUGUUGGGAAAGAAAAGCAGCAGGUUAAUACCCCGCUGUUCUGACGGUACCCAAAGAAUAAGCACCGGCUAACUUCGUG
rnacentral:rRNA from 1 species